rnacentral:rRNA from 1 species
GAUGAACGCUGGCGGCGUGCCUAAUACAUGCAAGUCGAGCGAACAGACGAGGAGCUUGCUCCUCUGACGUUAGCGGCGGACGGGUGAGUAACACGUGGAUAACCUACCUAUAAGACUGGGAUAACUUCGGGAAACCGGAGCUAAUACCGGAUAAUAUAUUGAACCGCAUGGUUCAACAGUGAAAGACGGUUUUGCUGUCACUUAUAGAUGGAUCCGCGCCGCAUUAGCUAGUUGGUAAGGUAACGGCUUACCAACGCAACGAUUCGUAGCCGACCUGAGAGGGUGAUCGGCCACACUGGAACUGAGAAACGGUCCAGACUCCUACGGGAGGCAGCAGUAGGGACUCUUCCGCAAUGGGCGAAAGCCUGACGGAGCAACGCCGCGUGAGUGAUGAAGGUCUUCGGAUCGUAAAACUCUGUUAUUAGGGAAGAACAAAUGUGUAAGUAACUAUGCACGUCUUGACGGUACCUAAUCAGAAAGCCACGGCUAACUCCGUG